AUUGAACGCUGGCGGCAUGCCUUACACAUGCAAGUCGAACGGUAACGGGCCUUCGGGUGCCGACGAGUGGCGAACGGGUGAGUAAUGUAUCGGAACGUACCUUUCAGUGGGGGAUAACGUAGCGAAAGUUACGCUAAUACCGCAUAUUCUGUGAGCAGGAAAGCAGGGGAUCGCAAGACCUUGCGCUGAUUGAGCGGCCGAUGUCAGAUUAGCUAGUUGGUGAGGUAAAGGCUCACCAAGGCGACGAUCUGUAGCGGGUCUGGGAGGAUGAUCCGCCACACUGGAACUGAGACACGGUCCAGACUCCUACGGGAGGCAGCAGUGGGGAAUUUUGGACAAUGGGGGCAACCCUGAUCCAGCCAUGCCGCGUGAGUGAAGAAGGCCUUCGGGUUGUAAAGCUCUUUCGGCCGGGAAGAAAUCGUAUGGGCUAAUACCCUGUGCGGAUGACGGUACCGGCAUAAGAAGCACCGGCUAACUACGUGCCAGCCGCCGCAGUAACAC
rnacentral:rRNA from 1 species